UACGAGGGGGCGAGCGUUGUUCGGAAUUAUUGGGCGUAAAGGGCGCGUAGGCGGUUGGAUAAGUCUUGUGUGAAAUCUUCGGGCUCAACUCGAAGUCUGCACGAGAAACUAUCUGGCUUGAGUGUGGGAGAGGUGAGUGGAAUUCCUGGUGUAGCGGUGAAAUGCGUAGAUAUCGAGGAGGAACACCUGUGGCGAAGGCGGGUUGCUGGGCU
rnacentral:rRNA from 1 species